rnacentral:rRNA from 1 species
UAAUCAAAUUUACACAUGCAAGAAUCCGCACACCAGUGAAAAAUGCCCUAAUAUAGUAUAAGUGGAGCAGGUAUCAGGCACAUAUACUAGCCCAAGACACCAAGCUAUGCCACACCCACACGGGCCCCCAGCAGUGAUAAACAUUAAGCAAUAAGCGAACACACUUCUUAAAGCUUGACUUAGUUAUGAUUAACAGGGCCGGUAAACCUCGUGCCAGCCACCGCGGUUAUACGAGGGGCCCGAAGCAGCAGACCUCGGCGUAAAUAGUGACUAGAAUAAUUGCCCACAUAUUAAAAACUAAACUCUGGCCUAACCGUAAAACACAGGCUAGAUGAAACCAAACAUUUUUAAUAACAGGUAAUUUGACCCACGAAAACUAAGAAACAAACUAGGAUUAGAUACCCUACUAUGCUUAGUCGUUAAUAUGAUAUUAUUCUACUAAAAUAUCCGCCAGAAGACUACGAGCGAAAAGCUUAAAACUCAAAGGACUUGGCGGUGCUCCAUACCGACUUAGAGGAGCCUGUCCUAUAAUCGAUACUCCACGCUAAACCUCACCAAUCUUUGCCAAAUCAGCCUAUAUACCGCCGUCGACAACCUACCUCAUGAGAGAAAAACAGUAAGUACAAAAGUUCAACAACUAAAACGUCAGGUCAAGGUGUAGCUAAUAGAAUGGAAGAGAUGGGCUACAUUUUUUAAGAUAAAACACACGGCACGGUACUAUGAAACUUCUACCUAA